rnacentral:misc_RNA from 1 species
AACGCACAUUGCGCCCUCUGGUAUUCCAGAGGGCAUGCCUGUUUGAGCGUCAUUUCUCUCUCAAACCCCCGGGUUUGGUAUUGAGUGAUACUCUUAGUCGGACUAGGCGUUUGCUUGAAAAGUAUUGGCAUGGGUAGUACUGGAUAGUACUGUCGACCUCUCAAUGUAUUAGGUUUAUCCAACUCGUUGAAUGGUGUGGCGGGAUAUUUCUGGUAUUGUUGGCCCGGCCUUACAACAACCAAACAAGUUUGACCUCAAAUCAGGUAGGAAUACCCGCUGAACUUAA